GACGAACGCUGGCGGCGUGCUUAACACAUGCAAGUCGUACGGUAAGGCCCUUUCGGGGGUACACGAGUGGCGAACGGGUGAGUAACACGUGAGUAACCUGCCCACAACUUUGGGAUAACGCUAGGAAACUGGUGCUAAUACUGGAUAUGUGCUCCUGCUGCAUGGUGGGGGUUGGAAAGCUCCGGCGGUUGUGGAUGGACUCGCGGCCUAUCAGCUUGUUGGUGGGGUAGUGGCCUACCAAGGCGGCGACGGGUAGCCGGCCUGAGAGGGUGACCGGCCACAUUGGGACUGGGAUACGGCCCAGACUCCUACGGGAGGCAGCAGUGGGGAAUAUUGCACAAUGGGCGCAAGCCUGAUGCAGCAACGCCGCGGGCGGGAUGACGGCCUUCGGGUUGUAAACCGCUUUCAGCAGGGACGAAGCUUUUUGUGACGGUACCUGCAGAAGAAGCACCGGCUAACUACGUG
rnacentral:rRNA from 1 species